UAGGGAAUCUUCCACAAUGGACGCAAGUCUGAUGGAGCAACGCCGCGUGUGUGAAGAAGGUCUUCGGAUCGUAAAACUCUGUUGUUAGAGAAGAACACGAGUGAGAGUAACUGUUCAUUCGAUGACGGUAUCUAACCAGCAAGUCACGGCUAACUACGUGCCAG
rnacentral:rRNA from 1 species